rnacentral:rRNA from 1 species
GGCGCCUGUGUGAUCCCCAUGCAGUCGACGCUGAGCCGACAGCUUGCUGUUGGUGGAUGAGUGGCGAACGGGUGAGUAACACGUGAGUAACCUGCCCCUGAUUUCGGGAUAAGCCUGGGAAACUGGGUCUAAUACCGGAUACGACCACCUGACGCAUGUCGGGUGGUGGAAAGUUUUUCGAUCAGGGAUGGGCUCGCGGCCUAUCAGCUUGUUGGUGGGGUAAUGGCCCACCAAGGCGACGACGGGUAGCCGGCCUGAGAGGGCGACCGGCCACACUGGGACUGAGACACGGCCCAGACUCCUACGGGAGGCAGCAGUGGGGAAUAUUGCACAAUGGGGGAAACCCUGAUGCAGCGACGCAGCGUGCGGGAUGACGGCCUUCGGGUUGUAAACCGCUUUCAGCAGGGAAGAAGCGAAAGUGACGGUACCUGCAGAAGAAGUACCGGCUAACUACGUGCCAGCAGCCGCGGUAAUACGUAGGGUACGAGCGUUGUCCGGAAUUAUUGGGCGUAAAGAGCUCGUAGGUGGUUGGUCACGUCUGCUGUGGAAACGCAACGCUUAACGUUGCGCGUGCAGUGGGUACGGGCUGACUAGAGUGCAGUAGGGGAGUCUGGAAUUCCUGGUGUAGCGGUGAAAUGCGCAGAUAUCAGGAGGAACACCGGUGGCGAAGGCGGGACUCUGGGCUGUAACUGACACUGAGGAGCGAAAGCAUGGGGAGCGAACAGGAUUAGAUACCCUGGUAGUCCAUGCCGUAAACGUUGGGCACUAGGUGUGGGGGACAUUCCACGUUCUCCGCGCCG